AGGGUCCCAGAAGCCCGUGUCUCUCAUCCAUCUCUGCAGCUCUCUGAGGACCAACCUCACUGCUCUGCCUGCUGUCUGCCUCUCCACAGGGACAGGUCCCACUGUGAAGCCCGCCGUGUCUCUGCUCCAUCCAUCGUCUCUGCAGCUCUCUGAGGGACCAGCCUCACUGCUCUGCCUGCUGUCUGCCUACUCUCCACAGGGGGCGACGGUGAGCUGGACAGUGGAUGGCUCAGUGGUGAAUGAAGGAGUUCUGACCAGCCCUGAAGAACAGAAGAAGGACGGUUACACGCAGCAGCACCUGACCCUCAGCAAAGCACUCUGGGAAAAGGGGAGGAGUUUGUCUGUACCGUCUCCCAUGACUGUGUCAAUCAUCCUCACGUUCAGAAAGAGCCAGUGUGAAGACUAA